rnacentral:rRNA from 1 species
AGAACGAACGCUGGCGGCAUGCCUAAUACAUGCAAGUCGAACGAACACUUCGGUGUUAGUGGCGCACGGGUGCGUAACGCGUGGGAAUCUGCCCUUGGGUUCGGAAUAACAGUUGGAAACGACUGCUAAUACCGGAUGAUAUCGAAAGAUCAAAGAUUUAUCGCCCAGGGAUGAGCCCGCGUAGGAUUAGCUAGUUGGUGAGGUAAAGGCUCACCAAGGCGACGAUCCUUAGCUGGUCUGAGAGGAUGAUCAGCCACACUGGGACUGAGACACGGCCCAGACUCCUACGGGAGGCAGCAGUAGGGAAUAUUGGACAAUGGGCGCAAGCCUGAUCCAGCAAUGCCGCGUGAGUGAUGAAGGCCUUAGGGUUGUAAAGCUCUUUUACCCGAGAUGAUAAUGACAGUAUCGGAGAAUAAGCCCCGGCUAACUCCGCGCCAGCAGCCGC